UACAGAGGUCUCAAGCGUUGUUCGGAUUCAUUGGGCGUAAAGGGUGCGUAGGUGGCGCCGUAAGUCGGGUGUGAAAUUUCGGAGCUUAACUCCGAAACUGCAUUCGAUACUGCGGUGCUUGAGGACUGGAGAGGAGACUGGAAUUCAUGGUGUAGCAGUGAAAUGCGUAGAGAUCAUGAGGAAGACCAGUGGCGAAGGCGGGUCUCUGGACAGUACCUGACACUGAGGCACGAAGGCCAGGGGAGCAAACGGG
rnacentral:rRNA from 1 species